rfam:Salmo salar isolate Sally breed double haploid chromosome ssa20, whole genome shotgun sequence.
AAUGCACCAAUUUGUAAGUCGCUCUGGAUAAGAGCGUCUGCUAUAUGACUAAAA